GCCUAAUACAUGCAAGUAGAACGCUGAAGAGAGGAGCUUGCUCUUCUUGGAUGAGUUGCGAACGGGUGAGUAACGCGUAGGUAACCUGCCUUGUAGCGGGGGAUAACUAUUGGAAACGAUAGCUAAUACCGCAUAACAAUGGAUGACACAUGUCAUUUAUUUGAAAGGGGCAAUUGCUCCACUACAAGAUGGACCUGCGUUGUAUUAGCUAGUAGGUGAGGUAAUGGCUCACCUAGGCGACGAUACAUAGCCGACCUGAGAGGGUGAUCGGCCACACUGGGACUGAGACACGGCCCAGACUCCUACGGGAGGCAGCAGUAGGGAAUCUUCGGCAAUGGGGGCAACCCUGACCGAGCAACGCCGCGUGAGUGAAGAAGGUUUUCGGAUCGUAAAGCUCUGUUGUAAGUCAAGAACGGGUGUGAGAGUGGAAAGUUCACACUGUGACGGUAGCUUACCAGAAAGGGACGGCUAACUACGUGCCAGCAGCCGCGGUAAUACGUAGGUCCCGAGCGUUGUCCGGAUUUAUUGGGCGUAAAGCGAGCGCAGGCGGUUUGAUAAGUCUGAAGUUAAAGGCUGUGGCUCAACCAUAGUUCGCUUUGGAAACUGUCAAACUUGAGUGCAGAAGGGGAGAGUGGAAUUCCAUGUGUAGCGGUGAAAUGCGUAGAUAUAUGGAGGAACACCGGUGGCGAAAGCGGCUCUCUGGUCUGUAACUGACGCUGAGGCUCGAAAGCGUGGGGAGCGAACAGGAUUAGAUACCCUGGUAGUCCACGCCGUAAACGAUGAGUGCUAGGUGUUGGAUCCUUUCCGGGAUUCAGUGCCGCAGCUAACGCAUUAAGCACUCCGCCUGGGGAGUACGACCGCAAGGUUGAAACUCAAAGGAAUUGACGGGGGCCCGCACAAGCGGUGGAGCAUGUGGUUUAAUUCGAAGCAACGCGAAGAACCUUACCAGGUCUUGACAUCCCGAUGCUAUUUCUAGAGAUAGAAAGUUACUUCGGUACAUCGGUGACAGGUGGUGCAUGGUUGUCGUCAGCUCGUGUCGUGAGAUGUUGGGUUAAGUCCCGCAACGAGCGCAACCCCUAUUGUUAGUUGCCAUCAUUCAGUUGGGCACUCUAGCGAGACUGCCGGUAAUAAACCGGAGGAAGGUGGGGAUGACGUCAAAUCAUCAUGCCCCUUAUGACCUGGGCUACACACGUGCUACAAUGGUUGGUACAACGAGUUGCGAGUCGGUGACGGCGAGCUAAUCUCUUAAAGCCAAUCUCAGUUCGGAUUGUAGGCUGCAACUCGCCUACAUGAAGUCGGAAUCGCUAGUAAUCGCGGAUCAGCACGCCGCGGUGAAUACGUUCCCGGGCCUUGUACACACCGCCCGUCACACCACGAGAGUUUGUAACACCCGAAGUCGGUGAGGUAACCUUUUGGAGCCAGCCGCCUAAGGUGGGACAGAUGAUUGGGGUGAAGUCG
rnacentral:rRNA from 1 species